rnacentral:lncRNA from 1 species
GCUUGUGCACUUCUUUUAUUAUUAAAUAUAUAAGCAGCUUCCUAUUUUUUAAAUAGAUAUUUAAAUGACUUUAUAUAAAAUAAUUCACCACUUCCAAGUAUAAAAACAAAAUCUCACAGUGCGUGAGCCAAUGUUCCCUCUCGGCUUUCUCAGAGAAAAGAAAGGGUUGCUGUGUAGGUAGCCAGGGGAGCCACCCAGAGGUUGCUCUGGGGCCCCUCACACUCCUGUGUCACCAAGCGCCCACAGAGAGCUUCUGCAAUGGGUUGGGUUUGAUUUCUUGAUUUUUAAAAUACUAUAUGUUUAAGGGUAGGGGGUAGGGGAGGAAUGACUUCUUUCUGUGUUUUUUUCUUCCACUUUUAAAUACAUAUAUUCUAGUAUCAAAUAAAGAGUCUAUGACUAGAAGAAGGCGCCCCACAGGAAAGUUCUCCAUUGUCCCUCCUUCAGCUGACGGCCACAAGGCAGGGGAGGUGGGGGCCAGUGGACUCUCACUUUCAAGGGCAGGAAGGGAAGGUCAUGGGCUCCAGCCCAGUGGCCAGGUAGGUCGGGGUCUCUCAGCGGAGGGCCCAGGGCAGCAGGAGAGGAGGGACACUGCAGCACAGAAGGAUCAAGGACAAUCGGCAGCCCUGUUACCUGCUGCCCAGCUCUCAGAGCCGUGGCCAUGGGCUGGCCUAGAAAGCUGAGGCCCUCAAGGCAGACUUGGAAGCAGAUGCCUGGGCCCUCCUGGUCCCUCUCCGGCCAUGGCUUGCCUGGUCAGAGAGAUGGUGGUAUGGGGGUGGGGUGAGAGCUGGAGGGUAUCACUGCCUAACCGGCUGCUAACAGGGACAACCUGCUCAGCUCUGGGCGCCUGCCGGCAGUAGCCUUGUGGCUGUCUUUGGGUCAGGGGCCUGGUAUGGGGAAGGAGAUUGGGUUGGGGGUCAGGGGUGCAGAUGCCUCCCCCAACCUCAGGGUCAUACCCAUAAUUUCAAAGACCCAUUUCAGUCAGAGCUCACCCUGCAGCCUUUCUCUGUGUCUGUCUCUGCCCUCCCCUCCCCUUCUCCCUCCCACUAGUCACUUCCCUCUUGGGAAUGUCAAAGUGCAAGAUGCAGAAACCUGGGCGAGCAACGCAGCCUAAAGACCAGCUCUAGCAACGCAGCCUAAAGACCAGCUCUAGCUGGCAGCCCAGGCAGUUCUCCCACCCUGAUCCACCCCCGGCAGACUCAACGGCCGGGUCAGCAGAAGGUCAGGGCUUAGGGGCUCCCUCAGUCGACAGACAGGCGAGGCCGGCUCAGGCACUCAGUGUAGGAGAAUGGGGAGAGGCCAGAGGGGUGGGAGGACGGACAGAUGUUCAUUCAUGGGCAAGGACGGGGCAGGCUGUUCAGCAGGCAGGUUCAGUAUUCACAGUGCAAUGGCUUCCUUCAUGAGGGGAGCCUCUGCGCAGCCUCCCAGAGAAGUUCUGGCAGGGCUGGAGGGAAGGUGGGGCAAGGCCAGAGCCUGACCUUCCCCUUGGCAUCAGGAGCCAAGCCAGCAGAGGGCACUCAGGUGAGUGGAGGCUGUAGACGCCCGGGCUGUCAGUGCAGACCAGCAGGCCCAGGGGCCUUCUCUUCCUAUCUUUUGGGCUGCACACCUUUACAGGAAAUCCAGCCGACGCUGUCCCACCCUGUGAAUAUCAUGCUUCUCUCUCUGGAGACAAGUCCCUGCUUGUCGGUGUUGGGAUCCCUUGGCACCAGGCGGGUCCUCUGGGCACAAGGGCUCUUCCAUUCCUCAGCGCCCACCCUGCUCUCCCACAUCCCACAGGCUUCUGGGUCCCUGGCCCAGGUGGUGGCUUUGAGGGGAGUGGGAAGAGGACACAGCCCCUGGGGGCAGAUGGUCCUCAGUCAGGCUUGCCAGCCUCCCUCGAGCAGAUGGGAGCCUCCAGGGCCCACGAUAAACAUCAGCAGCGUGGGGGGGCAUCCUCCAGCCCUCUCUUAGUCAAUCCAGAGUCUGAGGGUGGAGGGCAGAGGGAUCCCAGCCUGGCUGCUCUGGUCUAGUCCUGGCAGGCAGGAGUGCUUGCUCAUGGUGGGCAGGCCACAUUCCCAGGAGAAUGGCUGGGGAGGGGUGCUGGCGGAUGCUCCCACAAUGUCUCCUCCCAUGGAGAGACUGUCCUGC